rnacentral:rRNA from 1 species
UACGUAGGGGGCUAGCGUUGUCCGGAAUCAUUGGGCGUAAAGAGCGCGUAGGCGGCCCGGUAAGUCCGCUGUGAAAGUCACAGGCUCAACCUGUGAAUGUCAGUGGAUACUGCCGGGCUAGAGUCCGGAAGAGGCGAGUGGAAUUCCUGGUGUAGCGGUGGAAUGCGCAGAUAUCAGGAGGAACACCAACGGCGAAGGCAGCUCGCUGGGACGGUACUGACGCUGAGGCGCGAAAGCGUGGGGAGCAAACAGG